UAACCUCUGCAGGCUGGCCAGCCCCCAGGCUGGGCGGUAAGAGUAUUUCUUUGAAAGGCUCAUCCGCAAGCAUGGCUAGUAGC
rnacentral:pre_miRNA from 1 species